rnacentral:rRNA from 1 species
UACGGGGGGGGCAAGCGUUGUUCGGAAUUACUGGGCGUAAAGGGCUCGUAGGCGGCCAACUAAGUCAUACGUGAAAUCCCUCGGCUUAACCGGGGAACUGCGUCUGAUACUGGAUGGCUUGAGAUUGGGGGAGGGAUGCGGAAUUCCAGGUGUAGCGGUGAAAUGCUUAGAUAUCGUCAAGAACACCGAUAGUGAAGACAGCUUACUAGGCUUAUACUGACGCUGAGGCACGAAAGUGUGGGGAUCAAACAGG